AGGAAUGUCACAGAGGUCUGGAAAAACUAUUGCUAACUGGGAUGCACUGGCAUCUGGAACACCUGCUGUGAAGGAGGGCUGGCCUGCAUGGUUUCAAGGAUUAGAUGAGAUUGAGCGAUACAACAUACAUGGAGAAACAUGUGUACUUUACAUAAAGCUCCUCCAUCUGAUGGCACAGACUAGAAAAGAGAAAAACUACCACACCAUCGUCAUCCUGGUAAUCAAGCCAAGAUCAGUUCACGUGCUGAGGGUUGCAACUCCAACACCACUGACAAGAUUUCACUGGGAUCAGCUGACUGGAGAAAAUGAUGAAGGAAUCUACAAUGUCGUUGCAAGGACAAGCAAUCUUAUAAUACAAGCACCUCAACGGAAAAUCACUGGUAACUGAAGCUGGUAGAGCGCUGUGACAUCUCUUGUAAACAAGCUGCGUUAUAGACAAGGAUCAAUCAACCAAGUUCAGAUGUCUUGAACACGAUAGGGCCCCUUCCAUUCUGACUGGAAAAGACAUCUGUCAUCUAUGGUUUCUGCAUGAUCAAGGGUAUCCACAGUUUCUUUGCUGGGAUAAUGGAAAGCAGUGGAAUUCCUGUCCUUGCCAAGGACCUAAAUAUUUGAUGACAUCAUUCCGUCAUAUAUUGCAAUGUCCACCGGUAAUUAUAUACAGACUUAAGUUUUGCUUUGAAGCAAUGUCACAGUCUACCAUGCCAGGAUUUUUUAUUGUACUCUUGUUAUGCCGUAAAUACAAUAGGGCGAGUACAGUGUACAUUGAGUCUGCACUUCAUACACUGUGUACAAUCGCACUUGUUUGUCAUUCCUGCCGUAUCAUGUAGCCUUGCGCAAAUAGUUCAAUCAAAAUUGUUUUAAAAAGGCGUGAUAUUGCUCAAAUUUGUAAAUUCUUGAUUGAAAUCUGCCAAUUCAAGCAAUGAGAUAGCGGUACUCUACCUAUCUGUACGAUAAAAAAACCGACGGUUAUCGCGGCUCUUGGCUCUAAGAUUAGGGUGUCCCAAUAUCCACACCUGGUAUUCUUUAGUUACUGUGUAGUGACCUUUUUGUUUUCACUUUUAAAAACCUAUGCGAUUUGCCGCACUGAAGGUCCCUCCAGAGAUUGUUGGACUGGGUCCAUUGAAUGUGACAAAAAUAUACAACACCUAUUUACAAAUGAAGUGAGGGGACAGCCUUUUGGUGUAACUCCAUAUAACUGUCUGGUGAUUUCGCUCUGGGCUUGUGACAUUCUGAUCGGUCUGAAAUAAUCAUUGUCGCCCAUCCCUCAAUUUGAGGCCUGUGUCCCGAUGGUGGCGUUGAAUGGCAAAAUCAAAGGGGCAUGACGGCGGUUAAACCUAUUGCGAAUGGGCAGCAUCACAACCAGUUCUGAGAUCUGGGGGUGGUGUAGGAUAUCUGGUUACCACGCACACAUCUCCUGAAAUCUGCGGUGGGUUGGUACCCCACGCUACGUAAGGGGAGGUUUCUGGGUAAGACUUGGUCCAUGUGAAUAGGUAGUACCUGAAAGAUGAGAAGUUGCGAAUGGACGCCUUAGAAUAUGUCCUUCGACCAGCUAGUGCUAACCCGGUCACUGUCUCCAGGUCACCAUACCUUGGUCAAUGAGCGGGCGAAGAACCCAAUGGCUCCGUCAGGAGUACAUCGUCAACUUCAGCCCGUAGUCAAACCGGUGCACGCACAAAUAUCUUGGCUGAGAGUGGGGGACGUACUUGCUUCUCAUCGGGGUAAUACAGUACCACUGUAUACAAUGACCCCAUUUUAGUUGGAUUUUACUGAGGAGUGGACGAUAAUGAGAAUUUCAGGCCAGUCCGAUUGUCACCAGUUCAGAGGGCGAUUACCUGAUGGUUAUGUGGCAUUUCAUCAAACGGUUGACUCUUUCACAUCCUUUGUAAAUUAGUGUUGCUUGUUACAUGUUGCAUUCAAUGGCUCAUUUGAGGAUAGUUUCGGUGAUUCUACUUUACCAUGAGCAGGCCCAUUUUGACAUAUAACUGUGUAGUUUGUGCUCUGUAGUAUGUGAUUUAAAAAGUUGUAAAUCUGGUUAUUGGAGUAAAGAUUGUACAAUGGAAUAUAUCCACGGGAUACACUAAUCUGAGAGCCAAGAGCCAAGACUCCCUUAAAGAGCCAAUUAAGUGCCGCCAGGAGAGCCACAAGCCAAAGAAAAGGAAUAGGCUUGAUUGAAUAUAAUUAUUAUCUUUGGGAAUCCUAAGCCUACAGGUACCCUACUUGAUAAAAAAUGGAUUUAUUUUGUGACCGUUUAUGACGUCGUAAGACAUCGCCAGCUGGAUAGCGGUAUUGUUAACAGCCUACCAUGCCAAGAUUUUUUAUCAUACUGUUGUUACGCCGUCUACAAUACGGCGGGUACAGUGUACAUUGAGUCUGCACUUCACCCCCUGCUUACUCACACGUGUUUGUCGUUCCUUCCAUAUCAUGUAGCCUUGUGCAAAUAGUGCAAUCAAAAUUGUUUUAAAAAGGUAUAUUGCUCAAAUUUGUGAAUUCUUAAUUGAAAUUUGCUAAUUCAAGCAAUGAGAUAGCGUACUAGUGUACCGGUACUCUGCAUAUCUGUACUGUAAAAAAACGGUGCUCGGGGCUCUUGGCUCUCAGAUUGGGGUGUCCCAAUGACCACACCUGGUAUUCUAUAAGUUACUGUAGCUUAGCUCAGUGGAGUGACCUUUUUGUUUUCACUUUUAAAAACCUAUGCGAUUUGCCGCACUGAAGGUCCCUCCAGAGAUUGUUGGACUGGGUCCAUUGAAUGUGACAAAAAUAUACAACACCUAUUUACAAAUGAAGUGAGGGGUCAGCCUUUUGGUGUAACUCCAUAUAACUGUCUGGUGAUUUCGCUCUGGGCUUGUGACAUUCUGAUCGGUCUGAAAUAAUCAUUAACGCCCAUCCCUCAAUUUGAGGCCUGUGCCCCGAUGGUGGAGUUGAAUGGCGAAAUCAAAGGGGCAUGACGGCGGUUAAACCUAUUGCGAAUGGGCAGCAUCACAACCAGUUCUGAGAUCUGGGGGUGGUUCAGAAUAUCUGGUUACCACGCACACAACUCCUGAAAUCUGCGGUGGGUUGGUACCCCACGCUACGUAAGGGGAGGUUUCUGGGUAAGACUUGGUCCACGUGAAUAGGUAGUACCUGAAAGAUGAGAAGUUGCGAAUGGACGCCUUAGAAUAUGUCCUUCGACCAGCUAGUGCUAACCCGGUCACUGUCUCCAGGUCACCAUACCUUGGUCAAUGAGCGGGCGAAGAACCCAAUGGCUCCGUCAGGAGUACAUCGUCAACUUCAGCCCGUAGUCAAACCGGUGCACGCACAAAUGUCUUAGCUGAGAGUGGGGGACGUACUUGCUUCUCAUCGGGGUAAUACAGUACCACUGUAUACAAUGACCCCAUUUUAGUUGGAUUUUACUGAGGAGUGGACGAUAAUGGGAAUUUCAGGCCAGUCCGAUUGUCACCAGUUCAGAGGGCGAUUACCUGAUAGUUAUGUGGCAUUUCAUCAAACGGUUGACUCUUUCACAUCCUUUGUAAAUUAGUGUUGCUUGUUACAUGUCGCAUUCAAUGGCUCAUUUGAGGAUAGUUUCGGUGAUUCUACUUUACCAUGAGCAGGCCCAUUUAAAAAACCUAAACUGUGUAGUUUGUGCUCUGUAGUAUGUGAUCUAAAAAGUUGUAAAUCUGGUUAUUAGAGUAAAGAUUGUACAAUGGAAUAUCCGCGGGAUGCCCUAAUCUGAGAGCCAAGAGCCAAGACGCUGUUAAAGAGCCAAUCAAGUGCUGCCAGGAAAGCCACGAGCCAAAGAAAAAUUUAGGCUUAUGAAACUUUGGGAAUCCUAAGCCUACAGGUACCCUACUUGAUAAAAAAUAAAUUUAUUAUGUAAUCAUUUAUGACAUUGUAAGAAAUCGCCGCCUUGAUAGCUAUUAUGUGCAGACUUAAGUUUUGCUUUGAAGCAAUAUCACUGCUACACUUGUGAAGCAGUGGCAGUGUUCAGGUCUUGCCUGCCUCGAUGACAUAUCUGCAUACCAGUAGUUAUGAGCAGACUUGGCUCUUUCUUUGGAGCAGUACAGUUGCAAGAUAAAUAAAUCCUGUUUGUAAUUUUAUAAAUUAGUUGCUCAUUAAGGGCUUACGAAGGUUUUGAUGCCUUGCUGGCAUAUCUGCAUACCAGUAAAUAUGUGCAGAUUCAUUUCUUGCUUUGAAGCUAUAUUGUUGCUA